AUGGUUGUACACCAGCGCGUCGUCCGCGACACCGGCCGGGCCUGGCCCAUCCUGACGCGCACUAACUACGCGGACUGGGCCCUCCUGAUGCAAGUGAUGCUGGAGGCGCGCCAGCUCUGGGUCGCCGUCAACGACGGGACUCCGGAGCGAGAAAAAGAUCACACGGCAAUGGAGUGCCUGCUGCGAUCGGUGCCGUCGGAGAUGGUGUCCACACUCGCCGUCAAGCCCAUGGCGAAGGACGCCUGGGGCACGAUCAAGACAAUGCGGCUGGGCGUGGCGCGUGUUCGUGAGGCCAAGGCGACGUCUCUGCGCCGCCAGUACGAGGCAAUCAAGUUCAACGACGGCGAGGGCAUCGACGACUUCGGUAUGCGCCUAUCUUCUCUGGUAACUCAGCUUGAGCUGCUUGGUGACAAGAUUGGCGAGCCCGCCGUCAUCCGCAAGUUCCUCUCGGUCAUCCCCAAGGCCUACUCGCAGAUGGCGUGUGCGAUCGAGACACUGGUCGACCUCAACACUCUG
rnacentral:rRNA from 1 species